CAGAGAAAAAAAGAAGUGACCCGAAGUAUUUUCUAAGAAAAUUAUGGACAACUUAUUGUAAAUAGAAGCUCUUAAAAGUAACAUUGUCAUAUAACAGACUAUGAAUACUACUCAAAGCCAUGUUUCUUGUCCUCUGAGCCUCAAAUUAAAAGACAACUCCUAACCAGUACCAUAAUCUCCAGUACUUACCAACCAAAAGAUGUGUCUGAAAUGUGCUUUCCAUCAGAACAGAAUUCAGAAAUUUGGAUCUCAUUAGAGCCUCUUGGAUGGAGGAGACAGAUUCCCUCAAGUCUGGGUGUUAUUUCCAGAGGAAUGAUGAAGGAGAAAUCUAGCAAAAUAAAAACAGAUCUCAUACACAGCUAUAGGGUUUCCUCAGAGAUUUCACCCUGGAAUCCAAAGGAUUUGAAGAAGCUGAACUUCUCCCACUUCUUUGAUGCUCAUCAAAAAUCUUGUCUUUUAAAGCAGUCAAGGAAAUAAAUAUUCCUACCCACUCUCCCAAAUGUGUUUCCUUUAGGGAAGACUCUUAAUGAAACCCAGGCUACAUUUAAAGCCACAGUAGCAAAAUAUUUUAUUUUAAAAGAAAGUUAUAUUAAAUACAUUUAGAUAAAAUUAUGUGGCUAAGACAGAGGACAAGAGGCAUGAAAGUUGUCUUUAAUAUUAAAGUGCUACCACAUGGAAACAGGAUUAAAACAAUUCUGAGCUGCUUCUCAGAGAAUAAAUUAACCAGUGGUUGAGAUGGGCAUAGCCUAUACAAGGAAGAUGUUUUCUAACAAUUAGGCUUCUUCCUGACCCAAGCAGUUGCUAAUUUACUGCAUAUUUUCUAGAGAAAUGCACAGGGAAGAAAUUGAAUUGGAUGGUCUCUAAGCUUGCUUUAGAUCUGAGAUCCUGGUGAUUAAGCCUUUAGUGAGCCAAAAGGAGUCUUAAAUUUCUUCUACAGAACCAUACGAUAUAGCACAGCUCCUGGUAUUUUAUUAAUAUUUACCAUCUGAUGUAUAGAUUGUUAAGCCAAAACUUAGAUAAAAAAAUUAUAUUAUGUUAUCCCCUUAUAAAAUUGGCUCUUUUGAUAGAGCUAAUCUCAGUUUUAGUUUAUGUUGCUGACUUGUUUCAUUCUAUUUUCUUCUGAAAGCAAAAAGGAGAAGAUACCGCUGAGUAUACAGCCAGAAAACCCCUCACAAGAGAGAGAACAAGAAAUCUCUCCAACAGAAGCAUCUUCAAAUACAUGAAAAUGAGCACAUCCAAAGAAGUGACCAGUGUCCUGUGAUGUCUUUUGAUAAGACAAGUUGGAACUACUCUGUACAUUCACUCAGUAUUCAGAUCAGGUUAGACACUUUAAUUUCAACAAUGGCUUUAUUUGUUCAUUUACAAAUCAACAGAAUUAAAAAACCACAAAACAGUCAAAACAGUCCUUACCUAUUGACCUUAAGGUCCUCUCUUAGAAUUUUAUUAAUGAUUUUAACAUUUGUAAAGAAGAAAAUGAAUGCUUAAGUUAAGGUGCAAGUCGAAUUGUGACUUCUCUUCAUCCUGUACUUAUUUUAAGUCUUUAGUGAGAGUAAAAGAAACAUAAUUUGCUGUAUUGUAGAACUGAAUUCUGGAAAAGGAUUGGAAGUAUAGUAGAAAUAAUUCUAGGUAGAAAAGAAAGAUGUUUUGGUUUUAGUUUUGGCUGUAAAACAACUAACUAUGUGGCCUUGGAGUGUCGUUUCACUUAGUUAUUAAAUUUCAUAAUGUAUAAAAUGAUGUAAUUACUAUAUAUAUUCUUUUCAAAUAGUUUUUGCUUAUGAAAUUCUGUAGCAGCCAUGAAGCUGUACCACCCAGAUCUUUAAGAGAGAACUUUCUCCAAAGAAUGUAAUUAGCUUACAGUUCCCAACUGUUGCAUCUUUAAAAUCUGAUAUUGUGUUUAUGCCCAGGCCACUUUCUUCCUGGGCUACUGCCAAUGGCUUAAAAUAGUGGAGGUUUAAGAAUUGUGUCAUUUGUUUCUUAUGAGGGUAAUUUCUUCUAUCAAGUAAUCAUUGCUCAGAAUCUCUCCAUCAGGCUAGCAGGAGUUUCACAGAGCUCUGCUGUAGUUUGAGGCUGUUACCACUCAAUCUUUUCCCCUUUCUUCUCUUUCUUCCUAAGUAUCAGAUCAACAUUGUGGUCUAGAGCUCACCCAUGUGGCAGCUAGGAGAAAGUACUUCACAUGUCUCCAACUGCAGGGAGAAUAAUGGACUAAGGGCUCCAUCUGCUGUGCUCUGAUGUCCAUUGCCAAGAUUGUGAACUUUCUGAAGACCUUGCUGACACACUCUUAAAAUUGCACAGCUGUCUGAGCUACCGCCACUCAACCAACCCUCUCUCUUUCCCUUAAGACAGAAUUUUCAUCAUGGUCUCAUGGCUCUUCCAGCCUUCCCCAGCCACCCGCCCAUUUACUUUCACACAGGGAUUUUCACUAUAUUAGUCCUGAUAUUUAAAACUCCAUCUUGGCCUCUUCUUCCCAGGCUUUAGACAUCUCAUUAUGUCUAUCUCUGCUCCUUUUACCUUUAUCAUUCACACGAUAUGUCUAAUCAAUAUCUUAUGUUGUUUUUUCUUUUUUGGUCACUCCCAAGGCAUUUGGAAGUUCCCAGGCCAGGGAUCAAAUCUGAGCCAGAACGGUGACCUACACCACAGCUGCAGCAAUGCGGCUGGAUCCUUUACCCACUGCACAGGGCCAGGAAUCAAAUCAGCACCUCCAUAGAGACAAGCUGGAUCAUUAACUCAUUGCACCACCACAGCAGGAACUCCAAUAUUUUACAUUCUUGGUUCCGUACUGAUAUAUGCUUUCUGGAGGUCCAAUACUGACUCAGAUUCUUUCUUUGAAUUGGAAUUCAACAGGAAGGCUCAAUCUUGGAAGUAAUACAAUGGGUCUCUUCUGGCUGAAGCAAGAGUUGGGGGUCCUUUAUUCAUUGCCACUCUCACCCUAGCUUUGCCUCCAGUGGAAGUUCCUGAAACAUCUUUGAGGACAUCUAAAUGUUUUAAUUGAAAACCAUAUAUAAGGCGUUUACAAUGCCUCCCAAAUCUGGUAUUUUACCACCAGAGUCAGGCCAUGGUAAGGUGUCCCCAGGUAGCAGCUACAAAAAUCGAGGCACCAGACAAGGGUAUUAGUUCUUUCUGAGAAAUACCCGCAAGGUGGAGUGAGGCAUAGAAGAGUGCAACAAUGGCACCCACCAGCCUCUGUUUCCUGAAAGUGGUUUUGUGGGCCCCUAGAUGUGGGCCAAACCAGAGGCCUGCCUCUCAGGCCAAAGCCUAGAUGAGCAAAUAGGCCUCUUUCAUAGAAAGACUGGGGUGUGUUCAGUCAUCCCCCUGUGCUCUGGGGGGUGAGAGCCCACCAAGACCUGCCUCUCCCAUUGUUACAGUCCCAUAGGACCCAGGAACACAAGCUCCCCCCCCCCAUUUCCAGAGCCAGGCAGGCAUUAAGGGGUGUCCCUUGGGUGUAGCCACAAAAUCAGGGACCAGACUAUAUAAAAGUUCUGAUAAAUACAGGUCCUCUGGAGCAUGGUAGAGGUGGAGUGUGUGGAUGCAACUCACUGGGGUGGUGGUGGGGAGUGGAAGAAAAAACAGAUCUAGAAUUAAAAAAAAAAGAUUUUUUUUAGAGGUGCCCAGAUCUGGGGGGAGUGGAGAAAGAUGGUGUUCUCAGGAUAUAAAAGAAAAUAAAAAUGGUGUCGCAAGUGUGGAGAUGGAGGAAAAAAGAAAAAUUAAAAAAAAAAAAAAA
rnacentral:lncRNA from 1 species